rnacentral:rRNA from 1 species
UACGUAGGGGGCAAGCGUUGUCCGGAAUCAUUGGGCGUAAAGCGCGUGUAGGCGGCCCGGUAAGUCCGCUGUGAAAGUCGGGGGCUCAACCCUCGAAUGCCGGUGGAUACUGUCGGGCUAGAGUCCGGAAGAGGCGAGUGGAACUCCUGGUGUAGCGGUGGAAUGCGCAGAUAUCAGGAAGAACACCAACGGCGAAGGCAGCUCGCUGGGACGGUACUGACGCUGAGACGCGAAAGCGUGGGGAGCGAACAGG